AGAUCUAAGAUCCUAUUACAUGAUUAUUAUAUAGCAUUAAAUCAAAAAUUAAAAUAUAUAAAUAUAGCAUGAACUACAUGUUGAUCAUAUCAACAUGUUUCUAUACUACAUCUAAUGUAUGUAUUAAACAAUAGAUCAGAUCUAUUACCUUGUAAGUUAGACGUUCUAACCUUGCUGAUCCGAGCUUGAGGAUGAUGUUGCAAGCCACACACGCAUCCGGCCUCUAGGAGUCAUCCACACGAGCCCACGAAUCUCAAUCAGAAGUCCUGCUUCAGGAAAUCAGCACAGCAUGCUAGUACUGCGCUGAUCCUUCUUUGAUG
rnacentral:lncRNA from 1 species